rnacentral:SRP_RNA from 1 species
GCCGGGUGUGGUGGCGCAUGCCUGUAAUCCCAGCUACUCGGGAGGCUGAGGUGGGAGGAUCGCUUGAGCCCAGGAGUUCUGGGUUGUAGUGCAUUAUGCUGGGUGUCCACAUUAAGUUUGGCAUCAAUAUGGUGACCUCCCGGGAGUGGGGGACCCCCAGCUUGCCUAAGGAAGGGUGAACCGGCCCAGGUCAGAAACAGAGCAGGUCAAAACUCCUGUGCUGAUCAGUAGUGGGAUCGCAGGCCUGUGAAUAGCCACUGCACUCUAGCCUAGGCAACAUAGCGAGACACCGUCUCU